rnacentral:tRNA from 1 species
GCAAAUAUAAUUUAACAAAAAUGUUGGAUUGUGAUUCCAAAAAUAGGGGUUUAAGUCCCCUUAUUCGCC